AAGUCGUAACAAGGUUCCUGUAGGUGAACCUGCAGAAGGAUCAUUAUUAAAAGAACUAGAGUGCACUUAAUUGUGGCUCGACCCCUUUUAAACCCACCCCAAACUUUCAAAGACUCUUUUGCAUGGUUUGUAACAAAUCAUUGCACCUGAGUAAAAGUAACAUUCUUGAUUGAAUGUUACAUUACCCACCCCCUUUUAUUUUUCCAAAACUUUUUUUUUACACAUACACACAAGUUUAAAAGAAUGUAAACAACCACCUUUAAUUAUAAAAUAACUUUUAACAAUGGAUCUCUAGGCUCUCACAUCGAUGAAGAACACAGUGAAAUGUGAUAAGUAAUGUGAAUUGCAGAAUUCAGUGAAUCAUCGAAUCUUUGAACGCAUCUUGCGCCUUUUGGUAUUCCAAAAGGCACACCUGUUUGAGUGUCAUGAAACCCUCUCACAAAAUAAAUAAUUUUUAUUAUGAUUUUUGUGGAUGUUGAGUGCUGCUGUGUUACACAUAGCUCACUUUAAAUGUAUAAGUCAUCUUCUUUAUAUAGCAAAAAAGAAGAGAUGGAUUGACUUGAUGUGUAAUAAUUUUUUUUUCAUCACAUUGAGGAAAGUAGCAAUACUUGCCAUCUUUAUAUUAUUUUGUUGUUGAGAUAGAGACUACUAAACAAACAAUUUAAAAUUUAAGACCUCAAAUCAGGUGGGACUACCCGCUGAACUUAAGCAUA
rnacentral:rRNA from 1 species